UACAGAGGUCUCAAGCGUUGUUCGGAUUCAUUGGGCGUAAAGGGUGCGUAGGUGGCAUGGUAAGUCGGAUGUGAAAUCCCGGGGCUCAACCCCGGAACUGCAUUCGAUACUGCUGCGCUAGAGUACUGGAGAGGAGAUUGGAAUUUACGGUGUAGCAGUGAAAUGCGCAGAUAUCAGGAGGAACACCGGUGGCGAAGGCGGGUCUCUGGGCCGAUACUGACGCUGAGGAGCGAAAGCGUGGGGAGCGAACAGG
rnacentral:rRNA from 1 species